UGUUUCAUGGGAGUAAAACAUCCAGACACAACAGAAUGCGACAACAGAUGUAUCAGAAGCUCAAAAUCAGAAACUGAAAACUGCCCAUGUGGAGUGUCACCAGAGAAUGCUGACCAUCUCCUCCAAAACUGCUCUCUUUACCAAGAGGCUGUACAUGACACUGGCCCCAAAACACCCCAAUAGAAAGAAAAUUAUAUGGAGAGUUCCCUGAUUUGGAAACCAAUGCGAAAAUAAUCUCAUAUACUGGUCCAGUCAUCUGAAUGCUCCAAUAAAAAAAUGAGAAGAAAGAAGAUUGGAAGCAACAUGGCUAUCAAAAAGCAGAGACGAUACAAACCUCAUUAGAUGGAGAGUUUUAUUUUGUUGGUAAAGUCCUUGGUUUUGAGCCAGCAGAGAAACAUAGAAAGGGCCGUACACAUAUAUGUAAAAUACAUGCUUGAUCUAUUAGUGUAGAGAAAAAUAUUCGUUAUGAGCUGCUGGCCAGAUUAUGCCCAAACAGUACAGUUAUGUAUUCACAUUAUUAUGUUAAUAUUUAUGGGGUAAUUAACAAUGUUAAAAGAAGUGGGAUGUGUAGCUGUAUUGGAUAAAAUCUCUUGGGUCCCUAUAAAUGGGGCUUGAGCUCAAAUCUUACCCGAGCUGAGUUGUGUUUGCUGAGCCUCUAAAUGCAGUACAGAAACCUUUUUACUCCAAGUUUCCACUAAAAGAGAUAAGACCAUGAGCAUGUUAUAAGCAUGAAAGAUGCGCUCUAUAAAAAGAUAAUUAGAAAAAUAAAGGAAUACUUUGUGGUCAAUGGAAAUAGCAAGGAUAUUUAUUUGGUAGUCCAGAUUAAUACAUUAAAAUCCUAAAUAAGAACCCUUAAAAUGCAAAGUAGCAAAACUAUAUUGAAAACUUAUAACCAGCCACUACAUAAAACAUUCACUAACCCUAACCAUAUGACCAAUAGUGACUACAAAACAUUUAUGGCUGCCUUUUAAGUCAACAAUUAGUUGCCUGAUUGCAACUUGCUUAGUACAUAAGACUCUAUAAAGUUAUUAGAGCUAUUGAAACUAUUUUACCAAGAAAUACUCAUAUUUAGUGUUAAGAUAUUACAGUGAGACUUUCCUAAUCCUAUUUGGUGAUAUCCUAUUUGGUGAUGAGAUGAGACUUUGCUAGUCAUAUUUGGUGUUGAGACAUUACAUUGAGAUUUUCCUAGUCAUACUUUGAUGUUUAGACUUGACUACUUUCUGUUUCUUCCAUUCAAGUUUAUACUUUCACUCAGCAAUCUAAUACUUGAUACUCUUUCUAUUAUUGACAAAUUCAUGUAUGAAUACAAGCUAUUUGAUAGCAAUUACUUCAUUUUAAGGUACAUUAGCUUUAAAAACUGUAUAUUCAUCAUAAUUUAGUCACCACAAUGGAAGUUAUUGUUUACAAAUUUAAUUCUCUCACAAACUAUGUUCCUUCCUCUCAACAAACACUCUUAAUGUUAAUCUUCUCAUCUCCUCUUGAUAAUGGUAUUCAGAAGUCAACCUAGAUUUCCAUUUGAAUCAACUUAACAUUAAAAGCUGAAUAGUAUUUAUUUAGAAUCUUAUCAUACUGAUUAUUUUGAUAAUGACUCCAUAUUGUCUGUGUUUGUUUAUAGGCUUUUUUUUCCUAAGUUUUGAAUCGAUCAUUUGUUUUUUAAUGCAUUGGUUGAAUAACAAAAGAGGACAAUGGACCUCAUUCACCAAUAGUAAACAAACAACAUUUAGUCACGUGAUCUUAUUGAUAAAACAACGGAAAAAAACUGUCACAUGACAACCAUCAUGAAUUAAACAUGAGAUCGUAAAUUAUAUAGAAGAUAUAGAGAACCACGUGGCUAAGUGUUGUUUGUUUACGAUUGGUGAAUGAGGCCUAUUGGUUUUUUACAUUUUUACUUGCUUUUA